rnacentral:rRNA from 1 species
GACGAACGCUGGCGGCGUGCCUAAUACAUGCAAGUCGAACGAACUCUGGUAUUGAUUGGUGCUUGCAUCAUGAUUUACAUUUGAGUGAGUGGCGAACUGGUGAGUAACACGUGGGAAACCUGCCCAGAAGCGGGGGAUAACACCUGGAAACAGAUGCUAAUACCGCAUAACAACUUGGACCGCAUGGUCCGAGUUUGAAAGAUGGCUUCGGCUAUCACUUUUGGAUGGUCCCGCGGCGUAUUAGCUAGAUGGUGGGGUAACGGCUCACCAUGGCAAUGAUACGUAGCCGACCUGAGAGGGUAAUCGGCCACAUUGGGACUGAGACACGGCCCAAACUCCUACGGGAGGCAGCAGUAGGGAAUCUUCCACAAUGGACGAAAGUCUGAUGGAGCAACGCCGCGUGAGUGAAGAAGGGUUUCGGCUCGUAAAACUCUGUUGUUAAAGAAGAACAUAUCUGAGAGUAACUGUUCAGGUAUUGACGGUAUUUAACCAGAAAGCCACGGCUAACUACGUGCCAGCAGCCGCGGUAAUACGUAGGUGGCAAGCGUUGUCCGGAUUUAUUGGGCGUAAAGCGAGCGCAGGCGGUUUUUUAAGUCUGAUGUGAAAGCCUUCGGCUCAACCGAAGAAGUGCAUCGGAAACUGGGAAACUUGAGUGCAGAAGAGGACAGUGGAACUCCAUGUGUAGCGGUGAAAUGCGUAGAUAUAUGGAAGAACACCAGUGGCGAAGGCGGCUGUCUGGUCUGUAACUGACGCUGAGGCUCGAAAGUAUGGGUAGCAAACAGGAUUAGAUACCCUGGUAGUCCAUACCGUAAACGAUGAAUGCUAAGUGUUGGAGGGUUUCCGCCCUUCAGUGCUGCAGCUAACGCAUUAAGCAUUCCGCCUGGGGAGUACGGCCGCAAGGCUGAAACUCAAAGGAAUUGACGGGGGCCCGCACAAGCGGUGGAGCAUGUGGUUUAAUUCGAAGCUACGCGAAGAACCUUACCAGGUCUUGACACACUAUGCAAAUCUAAGAGAUUAGACGUUCCCUUCGGGGACAUGGAUACAGGUGGUGCAUGGUUGUCGUCAGCUCGUGUCGUGAGAUGUUGGGUUAAGUCCCGCAACGAGCGCAACCCUUAUUAUCAGUUGCCAGCAUUAAGUUGGGCACUCUGGUGAGACUGCCGGUGACAAACCGGAGGAAGGUGGGGAUGACGUCAAAUCAUCAUGCCCCUUAUGACCUGGGCUACACACGUGCUACAAUGGAUGGUACAACGAGUUGCGAACUCGCGAGAGUAAGCUAAUCUCUUAAAGCCAUUCUCAGUUCGGAUUGUAGGCUGCAACUCGCCUACAUGAAGUCGGAAUCGCUAGUAAUCGCGGAUCAGCAUGCCGCGGUGAAUACGUUCCCGGGCCUUGUACACACCGCCCGUCACACCAUGAGAGUUUGUAACACCCAAAGUCGGUGGGGUAACCUUUUAGGAACCAGCCGCCUAAGGUGGGACAGAUGAUUAGGGUG